rnacentral:rRNA from 1 species
UACGUAGGCAGCGAGCGUUGUUCGGAGUUACUGGGCGUAAAGCGUGCGCAGGCGGUUCGUUGUGUCGGCGGUGAAAGCCCCGGGCUCAACCUGGGAAUGGCCGUUGAAACUGGCGAACUGGAGUGUGGCAGAGGGGGGUGGAAUUCCGCGUGUAGCAGUGAAAUGCGUAGAGAUGCGGAGGAACACCGAUGGCGAAGGCAGCCCCCUGGGCUAACACUGACGCUCAGGCACGAAAGCGUGGGGAGCAAACAGG